AGUGAACGCUGGCGGCAGGCCUAAUACAUGCAAGUCGAACGGCAGCACAGCAGAGCUUGCUCUGUGGGUGGCGAGUGGCGGACGGGUGAGGAAUACGUGGGAAUCUGCCCAGUCGUGGGGGAUAACGUAGGGAAACUUACGCUAAUACCGCAUGCGCCCUUCGGGGGAAAGCCGGGGACCUUCGGGCCUGGCGCGAUUGGAUGAGCCCACGUCGGAUUAGCUAGUUGGCGGGGUAAAGGCCCACCAAGGCGACGAUCCGUAGCUGGUCUGAGAGGAUGAUCAGCCAGACUGGAACUGGGACACGGCCCAGACUCCUACGGGGGGCAGCAGUAGGGAAUAUUGGACAAUGGGCGCAAGCCUGUUCCAGCCAUGCCGCGUGAGUGAAGAAGGCCCUCGGGUUGUAAAGCUCUUUUGUCCGGAAAGAAAAGCGCCGGGUUAAUACCCUGGUGUCCUGACGGUACCGGAAGAAUAAGCACCGGCUAACUUCGUGCCAGCCGCCGCGGUAAAAC
rnacentral:rRNA from 1 species